UUCGUUAGUUCGUAACGUGCAGUAACAAUAAUAUCCGAGAGCACAGUUAGUUCGUAGUAAUAAUUCACGCCGCGCGCAGUUCGAAAUUCAAUUCAAGUACAAGUACUAAAAUCCGCAAAUAUAAUCCGCGAAGUACCUUUCCGAGUUCAAUCCUCAAGAAUCUACACGACUCUACUACGAAAGCUCAGUGCCUCGACAGAGCAAGAUUCCGGUAACUCGAUUAAUUAAAUAAGUCUGAACCUAUACGACUCUGCUACGAAGCACAGUACUUCGACAGAGCAAGGUUCCGUAAACUUCAAUUGUAAAAACGCUAGCGAAUCGAAAGACUGUACCAGUAGUGAAUAAACAUACUUGUGACCGGAAGUGCGUGAUCUUCACUCGAACCAUCUACCCUACCGUUCCAAUACCUGGACGACUCACCCCAACAGGUCCUAUUCGAAGAUAGGUUCUACUCGCCAAGUGAAAGGGAAAUGGGGACAGCGUUUUAAAGUUUGCACAAGGGCGGUUUAUAUGCACGAGAUAAUCUUAAAAAAAGAUGCGUGCCCUUGUAGGGUUUCAGGAGAUACGUCUUCAGAGGGAAGGCAUCG